rfam:Oryza meridionalis cultivar OR44 (W2112) chromosome 2, whole genome shotgun sequence.
AAUGUAUGACGCCGUUGACUUUUCAUCUAACAUUUGACCAUUCAUCUUAUUCAAAAAAUUUAUGCGAUUAUUAUUUAUUUUAUUGUGACUUGAUUCAUCAUCAAAUAUUUUUUAAGCAUGACAUAAAUAUUUUCAUAUUUGCAUAAAACAUUUGAAUAAGACGAAUGGUCAAACGUUGAAUAAAAAGUCAAUGGCGUCAUACAUU